AUUAACGUUGGAGUUGCAUGUCAUAGUAGCAAUUGUGGGUUUGUUUGCAGGUAAGUAGUAAAGAGAAAAUGGUAUCUCUAGCAGUGCUAUAGACCUUGGAGUACUGCAAGAUUUCAGGUAUACUUGAUGGUUCUUGCAAUGGUGGUAGUGAGUAAGCUUAAUUGCAGGGUUCUAGAAAAAAAGCUGUGUCUACAUACAUUUGUCAUAAUGUGUUUUUAGGAUCCUGUCAAGAAGUCAUGGUAAACCUCAUCAUGAUCAAGAACGAGACUUUGCUUGCAUCCAGGCUUUCCAAAAGUUGUUUGGUAGUAUACAGGCAUGAGGUGGUGUGACUCCAACUCAUUAGAUGCCUUCGUCUUUUCAGUUAUGUUCCUGUCAAGAGAUUAUAACAAACCUAACAAUGGUCAUUAUCAGGAGCUGUUUUUGGUAUCCAGGUUCCAGCCAGAAGAUCAUGUUGAACUUCAUAAUGACCAUUAAUGGGGGCUUUGCUUGUAGACAAGUGAUUAUGUGGGCCUUAAGCAUCCUACAGAUCAUGUGAUCUUCAGAUAUCUUGGCAUCCAGAUAAGAGUUGAUGGUGUCCCUAAUCAAGAUCAUGACCAUGGGAUUUUGCAGUUAGG